ACCUCAGAGAGACUCAACAUGUCCCCCUCCCACAUCCACAUACAUUACAAAGGUGGCUGCGUUCGGUGGAUGCCAAGCCUGGCCUGAACAAGAUGAUGCUGGAUAUGCUGGAGAAAAGAUGCCAG